rnacentral:lncRNA from 1 species
UCUUGUUAGCUCAUACCCCUUAACUUAAAACUCUACAAAAAUCUAGAUCCCUACCCUCUAUAAAAUCUAACUUAAAAACUCCUACGGGGAGGGGUGAAGGGAGACGAUCAGCAACGACCUUUCCUUUUCACUCGAUCUCACCAGCUCACCGGAAAAAUGCGAACGACCUUAAGCAGCCGGCCGGAUCUCGACCAUUCUCUAACACCCAUCGUUGCUCCUCCUUCUCUUUACCAUAGCUUGCCGGAAAACACUCACACACACACUCCACAAACCCCUCCCAGCUAACCCUCCAACUGUCCCGAAUUCGUUUUGCAUAGGAAAGAUUGUGAUAUUUUGGCCAUGGAGAUUAUUUGAAGAAGUGUAGUGGAGUUUGAGUUUGGUCCGGCGAAGUCAGUCCAUUCGUGGUUCUGCUACGAUUUCGCCAUUUUGAUCCAUCCGUUGUUGCUUUUCGCUGGGUUCGGAAUCACAAUUUGUAGCCAACUUUCUUCAUCAUCUGAUUAAUAAGAAGCUGUCUCUGCUCACUUGAGGUCCAAUUCUUGCCUUGUUUCUCUUAGUUUUUUUUGUCCUAUGCUUGAUUUUAGAUAGUAUAAAUAUGGUGAUUACAUGUUUGACAUGUUGGUUGUUUGCUGGUUUUCAGAACUUAAAGUAGAUUUUUAGGUGUUUUAGAUUAUAGUUUAGGUUUAACUACAUAAUUUGAAUUAGUAUUGUUUAAAUAUUAAAUAAGGAUUAUGCUAAGAAAUGGUAGUUGUUUCUCAUUAACAGAUCUGAUGAAUUUGGUUGUGGGAGGUUGGAUGUUAAUAAUGAAAGUUAAGUUUAGCAUGCUAAUUAUUUUGUUCUAUUGGUUUGAUUGAUAGUAGCAUGCUUAGGCCGACUACACUUGGGUAGGCAAACCUUAGAAUUUUUUUGUUAGCGUUGAGGCGAGAGGUCGUUCCCUUAGUUAAAUUUAUCCGGGGAAUGUGAAGCCCCAGAAAAAAAUUUGCUAAAUAAUUUAAGAUUUCGUGGUGCCAAGGUAGGCUAAUUANNNNNNNNNNNNNNNNNNNNNNNNNNNNNNNNNNNNNNNNNNNNNNNNNNNNNNUUCAUAAUGGACUAAAGUUGUGAAUGAGUACGCACAAGACCUCAAUUUGGACAAUCAUAUCUCCAGUUAUAUAAGGUGUUGUAUGAUGCGCAACCUAUCAAAUUAAAGCUCUUUGAGUCUAGUUUCCGACGCAUCAAACCGUUUGUCAUUUGGAGGUGUAUACAGAAAGUUACGACCAUUUUUCUGGGCAUCUGUCAUAUGCGCGCCCAGGUGCACGGCGGAAGCGCGGCCCCACAUAUUGAGAAGUAUUCUGCCUCGUGAGCGCGGCCUUAGCGCGCUAAUAGGAGACCUUUAAAUACGCCUAAGGAUGGGAAAUGAGAGGAUUUAAGUCAUUUUUCAAGACUAGGGCAUCCUCUCCAUCCCCAAUCCGGCCAAGACAUCCAAUUGCACACCUAAGGUGAGUUUUUAAGUGUGUUUUCAUAAUGAUUUCACUUCUUAAUCACUAGUUAAAACAUGGUUUUGAUUGGAUUUCAUAGGAUUUCUUCAAAAUCUCAAGAACAUCCCAAAAGUUGUCUUUCAAGAUUUAGUCUAUAAGAGAUAAUCUUUUACUCUUAGACUUACAUAUAUGGAGUUAUUAUGGAAAUACGAGUAUAAAUUAUGUAUUGUAACUCAUGGGAUGGUGAUUGGAAGUCAUAGGUGCCUAACCUAGGUUGUGUUGGUGUUGUAGAGAUUGUGAGAUGGGUUAUUGAGGUAUGAUUCUUAGGUGUAAUAGUAUUAUGUAUACAUGUAUGUACAAAUUAGGUUUGUGGGAAGAUUGUUGAACAUAAAUAAGUAAAGAUUGGGUUGGGCAAUGAAGGAAAUCUUGUAAAAGAGAUUUGAAAUCAAGAUGCUCAACUAGUGUUUGAUAAAAUGCUCAAAUGAGCUGAAACCAUGAAUACCUUCCUAAUUUGUGUUCAAUUUUGUUAUGUCUCAAGUAGAUUGGGAUUGGUAGAAUUUUCGGAACGUUGUAGUAACUUAAGGAAAGCUUAAACAAGGUAUGUAUGGCUAAAACCCCGUCUUUUAGAAAUCGAGCUUCAUCGAUGUUUGUGUGAAUAUGGUAAGAUUAAAGUUGAAUUGUUGCAUCGAUUAUUAUUUUAUAUGAAUUGGUGUUGUAACCUUAUAUGCGUGAAAGAUGUGCCUCAACAUGAUCAACGUGUUAUCUUAAUAACUUGAAAGGGGCAAAAGAUAUGAAUUAUGUAUUAAAAUGCUUAGACCUUAAAUUGAGAUUGAAGCUGCAUAUAAUGUGCCAUCUAUGUGAAAGUCUUAUCUAUGCUCACAAUUUAAAUUGCUCUUGUAUGCACCUACUAUCCUAAAUAGCAAAUCUAACAUUAAAAUUGGGAAUGAUGUGAGAUGUGGCUUAGUGCCAAAUAUAUGAUGUGACAAUUAUGGCCCCAAGUGCCUAUGAAAUGAUUUAUGGGAAACAAAGAUUGAAAUGAGAUGAUUGAUAGAAAAAGGAAAUGCCUUGGUAAGGCGGCCUAGCUGAUCGGGCCGAGAUCGGACGCCAUGCUACGCUCAUGGUGGUAAUGUGAUUGAAGUGAAUGUCUCAAAUGAGGCAACCUAGCCGAUCGGGUCGAGAUCGGACUCCGCUCAAGAUAACUGUGGUAAUGUGAACAAUGUUGAACAGUAUGAAAUGCCCCAAACUAAAGGCUAUGGAAAUAUGAUAUGAAAAUUGUAUGAUUCUUUUAUAUUGAUAAUGUUGUGAUCGUUUAAAGCUUUUGAGUUGUACUUGUGAUUUCCUUAUUUUUGUAUGAAAGUUCUUUCUAACUAGAUGGUGUUUAGUUAUAGAUACUAAUGCUAUUCGAUGACACUAACGUCCCUUUUGCCGGGGGCGCUACGUCUUUAAAUGGAUGUAGGUGUUUCUAUAGUAGGUAGUGUUGGUCGCAGCUAGCGCCGCAUCAUCCUUUCAGCUGACUUGGUGAGCCCCACUUCGUUUCGGGGUCCUGUUUCAUCUGUUUAUCAUAUACUUUGUAUUUUGAGGUAUAGUCGUAGCCUUGUUACCGACAUUUCCAUAUUACAUUACUCUUCAGUUGUGUUUAUAGGCUCCAUAGACAGGUUGUGGGUAGUGUCGGGUAUUGGAAUUAAAGUAGAAAUAUUGAUGUUUGUCAAAGAUUUAUAAAACUUGUAAUAUUUUGAUGAUUACGAUUUAAGCUGCUAAUGGAAAUGAAACGGAAGUUGUUAAUGAAAUACUUACUAAGUGUGAUUAAUGGAUUUCAUCUCCUAUUUAUUCAUGAAUUAGUUUGGGUAGAAUGAAACCUAACAGGCUUGCUCAGUCAGGUUUACUCGGUAAAGCGCUGGUCGUGCUCCUCAGUUUUGGGGCGUGACAGAGAAUGCCCCGAAGGAUUUGUAUAUAUAUAUAUUAUUUCGGGGAAUGCCCCGUCGUACAUGUAAAUGGAGGCCAAAAGUAGAAACUUGUAGUAUUUUUAUUUUACUUUCAUUUUUCUUUUUCUUUUAUUAGGUGAGGACGACCUCACGCCUCGUGUGUGUUUAUUUGCUUUUCCGUGUUUAUUUUUACCUCAAUUUGAAUAUUCUAAAAGCCAACUUGAUCAUGUAGGCGACCGUGAUUUUCACGGGACUUGGGGAAUGUCUAACACCUUCUCCCGAGUCAAAUGAGCCCCCUUACCUUAAUCUCUGGUGCGGACUUAAUUUUGGGAGUCCAAAGUGUUUAAAAAGGAAAUAAUCAUUUUUACAAAACGGUGACCUGACGCACCGAAACUAAUGUCAGGUGGCGACUCUGAGUUAUUUCCUUUUGAACACAAAUUCUUGUCAUUUUUCAUAAUUGAAAACCCUUUUGAACUUGCAAAAUCUUUUUAUAUUUUUAAGAGGGUUAGUGAGGUUUGUAAAAAAAAAAGGGUGUGACACAUACGACUAGCCAAAUUCGAUGGUACGACAUUAUAUGUUAAUGGCAAUAUCAUUUCACUUGUUGUAGAUGAAAGAAGUUGUGUUGAGCUUGGUUGAGUAAUAAGGAAGAGAUCAUACAGAUAUGUUAAGGAUAAUCAUUUUUUCUUUUGGCAUGAUCCAAGUAACGAUACGUAAAUAUAACGCUAUUUCAUAAGUGGUUCUAGUCUUGGCAGUUAAGAAUGUCUAUGUUAUUCACUCAUGUAAACUGAUAUUCAAGCAUGUCUAAGUAUGUUUCUAAGUCUCUAUUGAGGUGUUUGAUAAAGAUGUUAAUAUUUAUAAUAUAGUGAUAUAUGCAUGUGCAUGCCUUUACCACCGUGCUACGUCCGGUUGGGCAGUCGUGCAUAUUCACUUACCAUCGUGCUACAGCCGGUUGGGCAGAUAUGCAUCUUCAUUUACAACCGUGCUACGACCCGUUGGGCAGACAUGCAUCUUUAUUUACCACCGAGCUAAAUCUGGUCGGGCAAUCAUGCAUCAUAGGAUAUGAAUAAUAGUCUCAAAGAGAAGCAUUAUAUAUAUAUAUAUAUAUAUAUACACACACACACUUCAGAGAUUCAGGUUGAAUCAUAUAUGUCCUUAAUUAAUGUUGACUUACUGUUAUAUUUCAGUUCUGCCCCUUACAUACUCAGUACAUCAUUCGUACUGACGUCCUUUUGUUGGAGACGAUGCAUACAUGCCUACAGGUAUAGACAAUCAGUUUGACGAACUCUCAUAGUAGACGAGGUCAGCAUUCAGCGAAGGAUCGGUAAGACUCCAACUCAUUCGGAGUGCAUCUGAGUCUAUAAGUCAUCGUGUUAGAAUUUUGCUACAUACUUAUGGAUAGGCCAACACCCUGUCCCAUUUAAUGUCAAAUAAUCUUAGAGUCUUUGUAGACAGAGUUUCAUUUUGUACAGUAUGUCAGGGGCUUUGACGACCCAUAUGUAUUCAUGUUUUAAGAAAGAUGGUUCUAUUGAUACAGUGUUUUCCCAUUUAUAGUUAUACAUUACGAGUUGUG